GACGAACGCUGGCGGCGCGCUUAACACAUGCAAGUCGAACGGAAAGGCCUGCUUUCCCUUGUGGAUUGCGGGUACUCGAGUGGCGAAUGGGUGAGUAACACGUGAGUGAUCUGCCCCCAACUUGGGUAUAAGCCUGGGAAACUGGGUCUAAUUCCCGAUAGGACUGCAGGGUGGUGCCUGUGGUGGAAAACGAUUUUCUAGUGGUUGGGGAUGAGCUCGCGGCCUAUCAGCUUGUUGGUGGGGUAAUGGCCUACCAAGGCGGCGACGGGUAGCCGGCCUGAGAGGGUGGACGGCCACAUUGGGACUGAGAUACGGCCCAGACUCCUACGGGAGGCAGCAGUGGGGAAUAUUGCACAAUGGGCGGAAGCCUGAUGCAGCGACGCCGCGUGGGGGAUGACGGCCUUCGGGUGGUAAACUCCUUUCGACCGCGAGGAAGCCACCUGGUUGGAAGGGUGGUGACGGUAGUGGUAGAAGAAGCACCGGCUAACUACGUG
rnacentral:rRNA from 1 species